UAGGGAAUCUUCGGCAAUGGACGAAAGUCUGACCGAGCAACGCCGCGUGAGUGAAGAAGGUUUUCGGAUCGUAAAACUCUGUUGGUAGAGAAGAACGUUGGUGAGAGUGGAAAGCUCAUCAAGUGACGGUAACUACCCAGAAAGGGACGGCUAACUACGUGCCAGCAGCCGCGGUAAUACGUAGGUCCCGAGCGUUGUCCGGAUUUAUUGGGCGUAAAGCGAGCGCAGGUGGUUUAUUAAGUCUGGUGUAAAAGGCAGUGGCUCAACCAUUGUAUGCAUUGGAAACUGGUAGACUUGAGUGCAGGAGAGGAGAGUGGAAUUCCAUGUGUAGCGGUGAAAUGCGUAGAUAUAUGGAGGAACACCGGUGGCGAAAGCGGCUCUCUGGCCUGUAACUGACACUGAGGCUCGAAAGCGUGGGGAGCAAACAGGAUUAGAUACCCUGGUAGUCCACGCCGUAAACGAUGAGUGCUAGAUGUAGGGAGCUAUAAGUUCUCUGUAUCGCAGCUAACGCAAUAAGCACUCCGCCUGGGGAGUACGACCGCAAGGUUGAAACUCAAAGGAAUUGACGGGGGCCCGCACAAGCGGUGGAGCAUGUGGUUUAAUUCGAAGC
rnacentral:rRNA from 1 species